rnacentral:lncRNA from 1 species
GGUGAUGGGCAGCGCUGCUCUGACAGUGGCAUUCACCUGUGGUGCCUCAGGUGAGAGUCCGGCCCUGUGAUAACCUCAGGAAAGGUGUGUCCACUCAAGGAGUGCUGGGCAGACAGACCACCACGUGCUGCCAUCUCCAGGAAUGCAGAGGGGGAGGCCACUUGGAGGCCCUGGGAGAAGAGAACGGACUGCGCCUCUAGGCAGACGUGCCUUUCACCUUCCACCAUGAUCGCAGGGCCUCCCC